CCUACGGGUGGCAGCAGUGGGGAAUAUUGGGCAAUGGGCGCAAGCCUGACCCAGCAACGCCGCGUGCAGGAAGAAGGCUUUCGGGUUGUAAACUUCUUUUCUGAGGGACGAAGAAAGUGACGGUACCUCAGGAAUAAGCCACGGCUGACUACGUACUAGCAGCCGGGGUAAUACGUAGGUGGCAAGCGUUAUCCGGAGUUAUUGGGUGUAAAGAGCGUGUAGGCGGGAAAGCAAGUCAGAUGUGAAAACUCAGGGCUCAACCCUGAGCCUGCAUUUGAAACUGUUUUUCUUGAGUGCUGGAGAGGCAAUCGGAAUUCCGUGUGUAGCGGUGAAAUGCGUAGAUAUACGGAGGAACACCAGUGGCGAAGGCGGAUUGCUGGACAGUAACUGACGCUGAGGCGCGAAAGCGUGGGGAGCAAACAGGAUUAGAUACCCUUGUAGUC
rnacentral:rRNA from 1 species